GAGGGUAUAGCUCUGUGGUAGAGUGUCUGCCUAGUAUACAGGAGGUCCUGGGUUCAAUCUCCAGUACCUCCA
rnacentral:tRNA from 1 species